CAUGUCCAGGACCACAAUUGAC
rnacentral:siRNA from 1 species